GAUGAACGCUGGCGGCGUGCCUAAUACAUGCAAGUCGAGCGAACGGACGAGAAGCUUGCUUCUCUGAUGUUAGCGGCGGACGGGUGAGUAACACGUGGAUAACCUACCUAUAAGACUGGGAGAACUUCGGGAAACCGGAGCUAAUACCGGAUGAUAUUUUGAACCGCAUGGUUCAAAAGUGAAAGACGGUCUUGCUGUCACUUAUAGAUGGAUCCGUGCUGCAUUAGCUAGUUGGUAAGGUAACGGCUUACCAAGGCAACGAUGCAUAGCCGACCUGAGAGGGUGAUCGGCCACACUGGAACUGAGACACGGUCCAGACUCCUACGGGAGGCAGCAGUAGGGAAUCUUCCGCAAUGGGCGAAAGCCUGACGGAGCAACGCCGCGUGAGUGAUGAAGGUCUUCGGAUCGUAAAACCCUGUUAUUAGGGAAGAACAUAUGUGUAAGUAACUGUGCACAUCUUGACGGUACCUAAUCAGAAAGCCACGGCUAACUACGUG
rnacentral:rRNA from 1 species